CACUCCGCAGAGGCCCGAGCGGGCUCGCGAGGGAACGGGUUCUCCGAGUCUGGCCGGCCACAACAACUGGAUUCUCUUUUCUGAUUUUUGCUGCAGCUUCUGCUUUGUAAUCAUACGGACAGUUGUGCUUGUCAGAGUUAACGGUGAAGUCCACAAAACAAAUUUCCACAUCGGCAGUCAAACCUGUGGGUCAUUGGAGUGGUCCUGAGCUGGAGAAGCAAAAGAAGAGUUAGCGAUCCAUGGAAAUGCAAAGCUGACUUCAGGGUCCUGUGUCAUUCCUUGUGACACUGAGUAGAGUGAGGGUCCUGUUGCCAUUGGACAGCUGCAGCCUGGGACUGACCGGGAGGCUCUGAUUGUUUAUCCACCACAGACCAGGAUCUCCCCUCUGGGCUGCAGAUGCCUAAGAAGAAAGGAACUGAACCAACUCUGGUAUUGGGGUCCACAGAUGCCAAAUAAGGCCCCUGGAGUAGAGGAGAGGUUAAGACUGUGGCUGAAGACAAAUCUCCUGUAACUGAUCUUCCAGUUACGGUCUGUGUGACCUUGAUAUAGUGACUGUAUUUAUUGCCAUGUGGCUCAGUUUCCCCUCAGUGAAAUAGUAUAAAUGGUUAAUGGUUUUGGCUUA
rnacentral:lncRNA from 1 species